rnacentral:rRNA from 1 species
GCGAAAGUAAGACUAAUACCCAAUGACGUCUCUAGAAGACAUCUGAAAGAGAUUAAAGAUUUAUCGGUGAUGGAUGGGGAUGCGUCUGAUUAGCUUGUUGGCGGGGUAACGGCCCACCAAGGCAACGAUCAGUAGGGGUUCUGAGAGGAAGGUCCCCCACAUUGGAACUGAGACACGGUCCAAACUCCUACGGGAGGCAGCAGUGAGGAAUAUUGGUCAAUGGACGAGAGUCUGAACCAGCCAAGUAGCGUGCAGGAUGACGGCCCUAUGGGUUGUAAACUGCUUUUAUAAGGGAAUAAAGUGAGUCUCGUGAGACUUUUUGCAUGUACCUUAUGAAUAAGGACCGGCUAAUUCCGUGCCAGCAGCCGCGGUAAUACGGAAGGUCCGGGCGUUAUCCGGAUUUAUUGGGUUUAAAGGGAGCGUAGGCCGGAGAUUAAGCGUGUUGUGAAAUGUAGACGCUCAACGUCUGCACUGCAGCGCGAACUGGUUUCCUUGAGCACGCACAAAGUGGGCGGAAUUCGUGGUGUAGCGGUGAAAUGCUUAGAUAUCACGAAGAACUCCGAUUGCGAAGGCAGCUCACUGGAGCGCAACUGACGCUGAAGCUCGAAAGUGCGGGUAUCGAACAGGAUUAGAUACCCUGGUAGUCCGCACGGUAAACGAUGGAUGCCCGCUGUUGGUCUGAAUAGGUCAGCGGCCAAGCGAAAGCAUUAAGCAUCCCACCUGGGGAGUACGCCGGCAACGGUGAAACUCAAAGGAAUUGACG